UGCUUUACUGCUAUAGAUUUUGGGGCAU
rnacentral:sRNA from 1 species